UGGGCCGUCGCCAAGCGGUAAGGCAACGGGUUUUGGUCCCGUCAUUCCGAGGUUCGAAUCCUCGCGGCCCAGCCA
rnacentral:tRNA from 1 species